rnacentral:misc_RNA from 1 species
GAUGAAGAACGUAGCGAAAUGCGAUAAGUAAUGUGAAUUGCAGAAUCCAGUGAAUCAUCGAAUCUUUGAACGCACAUUGCGCCCGCCAGCAUUCUGGCGGGCAUGCCUGUUCGAGCGUCAUUUCAACCCUCGACCUCCCUUUGGGGAAGUCGGCGUUGGGGACCGGCAGCACACCGCCGGCCCUGAAAUGGAGUGGCGGCCCGUCCGCGGCGACCUCUGCGUAGUAAUCCAACUCGCACCGGAACCCCGACGCGGCCACGCCGUAAAACACCCAACUUCUGAACGUUGACCUCGAAUCAGGUAGGACUACCCGCUGAACUUAAGCAUAUCAAUAAGCGGAGG